UUGCCCGAGAUAACUGUCAAUUUACAUCCUGUGGACAAGUGCUGCAAGGCCAACGCCAUCCAGAAUAUGGAGUCCUAAUCAUUUUGUUCUAUUAUUGCUAGCCAAGGAACUGCCAACGAUGACCUUCUCGGAGCAGAACAAAAGCUAUUCGGAGGUGGCGAUCGAAGGUGGACAGCAAGAUCGAAGCUCAGCAAGAUUGAAGAUUGUUCGAGGAAGAAGGAGUUCGCCGUUGACUAAAAGGUUUAUCUGAACAGCUAGUUGUCAAGAUGAAGGUGAAGACUCGCCCGGCCAAAUUCAAAAUGGCGAUGCCAAAGAAAACCAUCCACGUGGACCGUUCGCGGACC